rnacentral:lncRNA from 10 species
CAUGUUCUUUACAGGUCCCUCUGAGAAUAGUUGCGUGUGCAUAGGCUGAUCUCUCUAUCUGCACUGGAAGACCCCGAGGGACGGCUGUAUCUUAUUUAUCUUUUUAAUGUUCCCUAUACUCAAUAUAAACAGUAGGUGCCUUGUACAUAGUAAGUGCUCCAUAAAUGUAGCUGGAAGGAAGCAGUUGAUGAUCUCGCCUUUCUGUUGAAAGCAGUGAAAUUUCGUGAAAGGGUUCUUCAGCGGGGUUUGGUGGCCAGAAUUUAUUAUAAGGUAAAGAUACACUGUGUUAUAUUUUUCCUUUUGACAUGUGUUUAAGGGAUAUCCUUGCUGGUGAACUAUCUGUUAAGUUUAGUAGAGGAUGAGUCAGCCUAAUGACAAGCUCCUGGAAGCGGCUAGAGUUCCUACGGGCCAUUUUGCAUGAUACCGUUGCUUGCUCUAGAGGCCAGGAUGCUUCUGUUUAACCCCCUUUAUGUCAUCUUGUAGAAUUCCACCUGCAGGCAUCAUGUGGCUGCCAUGGGAGUUGAUGAGUGGUGUAAUUUUCAGCCCUUAUCAAAGUUGAAAAAUCAUUGUUUUAUGUGUAUAAAGAGUACAUCGUUCUCUAAGACAGGGAGGGGAAC